GUAGAGAUGAUCUAUAUAUUAGUACCUAAAAACUGAACGGUCAAGAUGUGGAUAUGCGACCGAAAAGUGACCCUAAACUCCAACCUCACUCUGAAAUUAAAGUGCGAGGUUGGAGUUUAGGGACACUUUUCGGUCGCAUAUGCACAUCUCGACCGUUCAGUUUUUAGGUACUAAUGUAUAGAUCAUCUCUGC
rnacentral:pre_miRNA from 1 species